GGCGGCGUGCUUAACACAUGCAAGUCGAGUGCGCGUUCCGUAGCAAUACGGGGUGGCGCACGGCGCACGGGUGCGUAACACGUGGGUAAUCUGCCCUCUGAUGGGGAAUAACUCGCCGAAAGGCGAGCUAAUUCCGCAUAAUAUUCCGAAGAGUUCGCUUUUUGGACUGAAAGGCGUAAGUCGUCGGAGGAGGAGCCCGCGCACGAUUAGCUAGUUGGUAGGGUAAUGGCCUACCAAGGCUUUGAUCGUUAGCUGGUCUGAGAGGAUGGCCAGCCACACUGGAACUGAGACACGGUCCAGACUCCUACGGGAGGCAGCAGUGGGGAAUCUUGCACAAUGGGCGAAAGCCUGAUGCAGCGACGCCGCGUGGGGGAUGAAGCUUUUCGGAGUGUAAACCCCUUUCGAUCCGGACGAAUGCCCGCAAGGGAUUGACGGUACGGAUAUAAGAAGCCCCGGCUAACUACGUGCCAGCAGCCGCGGUAAGACGUGGGGGGCCAGCGUUGUUCGGAAUUACUGGGUGUAAAGGGUUCGUANGCGGUGCGGCAA
rnacentral:rRNA from 1 species